CUUGUUCGUUCAAUUUUUUUUCACCUUUUCGUUCUUUGAUACUUAGCAGGCAAUAUAUAUAACUCAUGGAGCAAUCUGUGUUUUUCUCCGUAACAAGUGUCUAAUGUCUAAUAAGAAGGGUGAAUCAUGAGCUGUUGGCUCUUGAAAAGCGCGCAUUGGACAUGUGAAUACUAGAGUAAGCGAGGAAGUUAUUUCGAGUCAUCUGAAGCAACAUAAGUAUGAAGUAUCUGCAACAUCUGAUUUGCAGGAGCUAAAACCUUGCUGCAUAUGUCAGGAUGAGUACAAUAAUGAUGAUGAUCUUGGAGAGCUAGUGCUGACAUAGUUUUCAUGUGGAGUGUAUCAAAGGAUGGUAACGCGCAAGAAUUUGUGCCCCAUUUGCAAGACAACGGCAAUGGGUGAGAAAGAAAAAGUGUAGAUCUUGGUUUCUCGUAUUAACCAUGUAGAAGUGACUAUGGGUUACGACGUAUCUCUCACUUGGAGUGGUUCUUUGAAUCAACUAAAUGAAGACUAUGUUUUACCCACAAGGGUGCUUUGCAUGAGAGAUUUGCAUGUGCCUCUUUCGUACUUUUUAUUUUU